GUUCAAUGGCUAAAUUUCAUUGCAAUAGUUUGAUCAAAUAAAUUACCAUCAUUUAAGAAGCUGCAUCUAAGUUUUUCUGAGCAAAAGCCUUUUACAUUCCCCUAUUUAGAUUGUAAUCCUUUUAGUUCUAUUAACUAAAUAUUAGAGGUACCCUACCCCCAAGAAAACAAA